rnacentral:rRNA from 1 species
UACGGGGGGGGCAAGCGUUGUUCGGAAUUACUGGGCGUAAAGGGUUUGUAGGUGGCCAACUAAGUCAGACGUGAAAUCCCUCAGCUUAACUGGGGAACUGCGUCUGAGACUGGAUGGCUCGAGUGCAGGAGAGGAACGCGGAAUUCCAGGUGUAGCGGUGAAAUGCGUAGAUAUCUGGAGAAACACCGGUGGCGAAGGCGGCGACCUGGGUAGAUACUGACGCUGAGGCGCGAAAGCGUGGGGAGCAAACAGG